rnacentral:rRNA from 1 species
AUUGAACGCUGGCGGCAGGCCUAACACAUGCAAGUCGAGCGGAUGAAAGGAGCUUGCUCCUGGAUUCAGCGGCGGACGGGUGAGUAGUGCCUAGGAAUCUGCCUGGUAGUGGGGGACAACGUUUCGAAAGGAACGCUAAUACCGCAUACGUCCUACGGGAGAAAGCAGGGGACCUUCGGGCCUUGCGCUAUCAGAUGAGCCUAGGUCGGAUUAGCUAGUUGGUGAGGUAAUGGCUCACCAAGGCGACGAUCCGUAACUGGUCUGAGAGGAUGAUCAGUCACACUGGAACUGAGACACGGUCCAGACUCCUACGGGAGGCAGCAGUGGGGAAUAUUGGACAAUGGGCGAAAGCCUGAUCCAGCCAUGCCGCGUGUGUGAAGAAGGUCUUCGGAUUGUAAAGCACUUUAAGUUGGGAGGAAGGGUUGUAGAUUAAUACUCUGCAAUUUUGACGUUACCGACAGAAUAAGCACCGGCUAACUCUGUGCCAGCCGCCGCAGUAAAAC